GAUUGGAGAGGGAACAGCUGGCUCAAGUGUUGAGUAUCACUCAGCUUGAUGCAGCAUAAAAUAUACCAGAAACCUAAACCACUGAACCUUUCACAUCUGGUUUUCCUACUUUAAACAUCAAAGACUUCAAUUUUUUUUCUUUUUCUUUUCUGUUCUCUGUAUAAUGCUGGGAAGAGCUUUGUGUAAGUGUCAUUGACUGGGGUUGAUAAAGUGAGCACUGAUAAA